AUGAUUACAGCUUUUUUUCUUUAAUUUUGUUUUUUUAAUUGACAAUAAUUGUACAUAUUCAUGGGAUACACAACAAUGUUUCAAUACACAUGAUGUAUAGUGAUCAGAUCAGGGUACUUAGCAUAUCAUCAUCUCAGACAUUUAACAUUUAUUUGUGUUGGGAUCAUUUAAUAUCCUCCUCCUAGCUAUUUGGAACUAUGUAUUAUUGUUAAUUAUAGUCAUUCUACAAUGCUAUAGGACACCAGAAUGUAUUCCUCCAUGAUCACAGCUUUCUAAUUCUUUUCUGAUAGACCGUCUUAUCUGGUCUCACUGGCCAAAACGCAGCCUUGGAAUCCUCUAGGAUAUCACUAGCAGUUAUUGUGAGUUCCAACCUGAGAAUCAAUUUAUUUACAAUUCUUGAACCCAUAGCAACAAGAAUAAAAAAGAAAGAGAAUUUGGAAGUUAUCUCAUGGGGGGAAUAAAGGCAAGUGUGAAGGUGCCUUAGGGAGGGGAAGGGGUCCGGAGAGUGACCCACCAAAGCUGAACAACUGCCUGACCUAGAGACAUCCAGAAGAAGAGGUGAAUGAUGAACCCGAUGAUCUUUAAGCUUCUUCUCAAAUCCUAUGGUGCUCAUUCUUGGAUGUGUCCAUUUAGUUUGGAUAUUUUGAGUUUGAGGCAAUGACAGGAUUUUCAAGUGGAAGCGUCCUCUUGAAUGCUCACAGAGAUGGCUGGGGAGAUAGAGGUCGGUGGGAGAAUAUUCUCAUGAUCGGGCCCUGCUUGGAAGAUGAAAAGCCUGCAGGGAGCUCAGACUGCAUACAGAGGCUUAGGAGUCCAGGAAACCAACUAGUUGAGCUGCCUUUCAUAGCAUAGCUGUGGCUUCCCAGAACUUGCCGGGGAAGGCUCCCCUUUCCUCCCUGCCAAUUUCUCCACCCCACCUGGCACCAAAGGGCCUAGCCUCCAAGUCACAAUUAAAGCUGUGCAACGAUGCUAAUUGCUGUAUCUGACCUCCCUUCGGAUAACAAGGGAAUCCCUCUCCCUAAUUAGCCCUGCCGCUGGUAGACCAGCAAAGCCAAAUGUUUAUUAUGGGAUGAAUGCUCUUACCGUAGAUUUUGACAUAUGCUGUGGAAAGAUGUUGGAUAAAUAAGACUUCAGAGGCAUGGGUUGCUUAAAUAAUGAAUACCCACUGCUGUGGGUGAUGAGGGUGGAGGGGAGUGAGGCAAAAAAGAAGCAAAGGAUCCUGGAUCCAUGCUCAGAGCCCGGGAACAGACUUGGUUGGGAAAGAAGCAGAGGGAGGGAUAUGGCAAUGCCAGCAGGAAGGCUAGGGUGAAGAAGAGAGUGUGCUGGGCUCCACACUGCACUCACUGCUCCUGUUGUC
rnacentral:lncRNA from 10 species